CUGUCUCAUCUACAUAUGUCACAUCAGGUUUUAUGUUUUGUGACCUUGAGAUACUGCAUCAUUGACGUUUAUUUUACAUGAUUUGAUAAUUUUUCGUUUGCAUACGGUAACAUUGACGUAUACCAUUUAGGCUUUCUUUGAUCUUCGUUUUAGAAGGACGUGAAAUAUUCAAGGUUAGUUCCAGAACGUCCAGUGGCAAAUAUAGGACCAGACGGGGAAAAAUAAUGUACAGCAUACAUGUAUGUCUAUCAGAAUCAACAGGAGGUAGGGAGCUAUGAACAGACGAGUAAUAAUGACACAUUUAAAUUUGAUCGUUUUUAUUUCGAGGACAGAUUAGGAUGAAGGACAUACAUAUGGUUAAACUUAAAUGACAAUCUUCAUUGCAAAAAUCAAAACCCGGGCGGCGGGUUAAAAUGCAAAGAUUACACAUUGUAUUACAUGUACACAAAAAAAAACCAUACACGACACUUCAAAAAGUUCAAAUUAAUAAUAUGUACAUAAAACAAUAGUUGUGGGUUCGUAAGGGAUGCUCUGAAACAGCAAAGGGAAAUGGAUCAAUAGCAACAAUCAUGUCCUUUGCGUAUGCAAAAUUUCCCACAAAUUGCUUCAAGUGACAAUCAUUUAAUUCAUACAUCAAAAACAAAAUGCAUUUAGUUAAAACAUAUUUUGUAUAUAGAACCUUCAAGAAAGUAUUAAAGUAGUUCUGUUAUAUAAAUCAUAAUUGAUUAAGUUGAAUUUGUAUUCGGGUGAUAACACACACCCAUAAAUUCAUUUCGAAUGACUCUAUGUAGAUCUAUGUUAAAACAAAUGUGAAUCGAAUAAAGUAAUUACAACCGAUUGCAUUGAGUAUGUAGGUAAAGGUAAUAUAUCUUUGGUUCUUUUGUUUUACUUCCCUCCUUUCGAAAAAAUCUAGUCUUACAGACACAUAGAUUGGUUAUUUGUCGGUCUAGUAUACUUUUAAAGGAGGGUAGUUUACCUAACAUAAUAAUGGCUUCACGGUUCAGUCAGCAAGCUAACCAAAGAUAUUACCUUUACCUACACACUCAAUGCAAUCAGCUGUAAUGUUCAUGUAUGUCCGUUUUAUCUAACGUAAAAAAAAACUUCCGUUAUUUAUAUUACAUACAAAUAGAAGUUGUGUGUGUGUGUGUGUGUGUUUAAAAUAAAUACCAAAAAGCCUGUUCAAUCCAUUUGAUUUAGUAAAAAUAAAAAUCGUUUAUUAAAAG
rnacentral:lncRNA from 1 species